UACGCUGUACCGGGGAGAGCGCGGCCCCAGGCCUUCUCCAGUGCCUUUCUGGAGCUCCGGGCUGGCCGCGUCCCGGGACCCGACAGAGGCGGUGGCUCGGCUAGGGAAGUCGCGCCUAUUCGCAGGGAGUCGCAGAGGGAAGAAGAGAGGCUGUCUGGUGACUGCUCGCCUACACUCGAGAAAAUGCCUUAGAUUUUGAAUUUGAGGCAUUUGCAGAAGGAAAGAGGGGACAGACAGAACAGUCUCCUGUUGCUGGGCCUGGGCAAGGAGAAUUAGGGAGCCAGAUGCCCACAUUCUUCUCUUUUGGUCAGUACAGCUGCAUGGGGCACAGACUCCAGGUGGGCGUUCAGGAUGAAUUGUUUUAAAGAGUCUCUAAAGCUAUACUCACCCUUGUUGAGCUCCCUGUUCCCCUUGGGCAUGGAUGGGAAAUUCAGGGGUAUCAGGUGCAUUUCCUCAUUUUCUGGUUAUUCUAAGACCUCUGGGCCCUAACUGCCCCUGGAGCACUGUUCCAAACCUGGAGGCUGCUAAAUGAAUGAUCAUUUAAUAGAAUAAAAAAAAACAAAACAAAACAAAAAAACCCUAUCAGGAUAUAUUAACUCACUUUAUAGUCCUUGUGGUGGGAGAGGGAGAGACUAUGAUGAUUUCCUAAAUGCCAGCUAGUUAAGUCCCUCUACCUCCUCCCUCUGGAGUUAAGAAAGCCUCCCUGCAUCCAUGUAUUUCUCCUCUAUCAUAGUUUGCUACAUUUUUUGCGGCUGCUCAUGGCACCACACUUGACCUUAGGAACGCCAAGUGGAAGAGCCUGACGAUGAGACUGAGACUAGGUCGCCAAUUUGAACUGAACUUGGUUUUUCCUCCUCCAACCAGAAUGGCAUGACUCAGGAUGACGGCAAGCCUAAAGGGAAACGAGGUGUCCUGUGUGCCACAUGGAGCUCGGGGAACGGAAAUAAUUAAAGCCAUGAGGUUUCCUGGCUCUACGCGGUGUUUACGGUGGGUUUUGAUUUGGGGAAGGAGAGCGAGGAGAGGUUAAGGCCGGUUCCAAUCUGCCAGCAUCCUGUAUCGGUCUGUGCAGCAGAUGACGAGUGCGUCCGGGAGGGCUCGCGCCCCUCGGUGUGCGCGUAGCGGGGGGUGCAAGAUCGUGUCUCUGGGUGUCGUGUGGGGUGGCGUACCUACUCCGAAGUAACAGAGUAGGUGCAUGUUAAUUUCAAAAAAAAAAGUAGAAAUCCUCCCAGCUGGGAAAGGAGGGCUCUAAGAUCCCUCGUAUGACAGCGGAGGGUCUGAAGCUAUUAAGGAAGGCACCCGUUUUAGUUUUCAAACCCCAUUUUUAUUCUUGCAAUGUUUCCAGUCUUUGAACUACUGUCGUUUAACAGGGAGAAGGAAGAGACUCCAUUAUACAAGCAUAUCGGCUUACUUGAUCUAAACCAAACACCGCUGAACAAAAAUGUUGGUUGAAGCCUAGCAAAUAACUACUAAUCCGGUAACGAGAAUUUAGCCAUACGCAAGUGCUGCUGUUGCAAAUCAUCACCAAAUUCGAAGUUAAGAUGAACUCAAUAAAAGAGAGAGCCUGAGCAAUGGAAGAGCCAAGAGACGGGAGACACAGAAUCCGAAGCAGGCUCCAGGCUCUGAGCUGUCAGCGCAGAGCCCAACGCGGGGCUCAAAGCCGCAAACCGAGAGAUCAUGACCUGAGCCAAAGUCAGAUGCUUAACCGACUGAGCCACCCAGGCGCCCCUGGUCAGAAGACACGAGUGAAAAAAUACCAGCAACCAAACAUGGUGGUAUCAAGCCUAAUUAGGAAUAAAAAAACCACAUUUCUAAAAUCUGUGUCUG